rnacentral:rRNA from 1 species
AGCGAACGCUGGCGGCAGGCCUAACACAUGCAAGUCGAACGGCCCUUCGGGGUAGUGGCGGACGGGUGGGUAACGCGUGGGAAUGUGCCCUUUGGUACGGAACAACUGAGGGAAACUUCAGCUAAUACCGUAUGUGCCCUUCGGGGGAAAGAUUUAUCGCCAUUGGAGCAGCCCGCGUUGGAUUAGGUAGUUGGUGGGGUAAAGGCCUACCAAGCCUACGAUCCAUAGCUGGUCUGAGAGGAUGAUCAGCCACAUUGGGACUGAGACACGGCCCAAACUCCUACGGGAGGCAGCAGUGGGGAAUCUUGCGCAAUGGGCGAAAGCCUGACGCAGCCAUGCCGCGUGUAUGAUGAAGGUCUUAGGAUUGUAAAAUUCUUUCGCCGGGGACGAUAAUGACGGUACCCGAAGAAGAAGCUCCGGCUAACUUCGUGCCAGCAGCCGCGGUAAU